GACGAACGCUGGCGGCGUGCCUAAUACAUGCAAGUCGAGCGGAGCGGCGGACGGGUGAGUAAUGCCUAGGAAUCUGCCUGGUAGUGGGGGAUAACGUCCGGCAACGGGCGCUAAUACCGCAUACUAUCAGAUGAGCCUAGGUCGGAUUAGCUAGUUGGUGGGGUAAAGGCCUACCAGGGCGACGAUCCGUAACUGGUCUGAGAGGCGGAUCAGUCACACUGGAACGGAGACACGGUCCGGACUCCUACGGGAGGCAGCAGGGGGGAAUAUUGGACAAGGGGCGAAAGCCGGAGCCAGCCAUGCCGCGUGGGUGAAGAAGGUCUUCGGAUUGUAAAGCACUUUAAGUUGGGAGGCGGUACCAACAGAAUAAGCACCGGCUAACUACGUGCCAGCAGCCGCGGUAAUAC
rnacentral:rRNA from 1 species